rnacentral:rRNA from 1 species
GAUCCUGGCUCAGGAUGAACGCUAGCGACAGGCUUAACACAUGCAAGUCGAGGGGCAGCACAGGUAGCAAUACCGGGUGGCGACCGGCGCACGGGUGAGUAACGCGUAUGCAACUUACCUACCAGAGGGGGAUAACCCGGCGAAAGUCGGACUAAUACCGCAUGAAGCAGGGGCCCCGCAUGGGGAUAUUUGCUAAAGAUUCAUCGCUGAUAGAUAGGCAUGCGUUCAUUAGGCAG